GUAUGGCCUAGACGUUUGGAUUAUUGCUUUGCUUUGAAGGAGGACCUUAAUUGGUCCUAGAACGGCCUAAGGUAGAGGGGUUUUAGUCGGUAGGUCCGAGUACUUCUUCCUCGGGAAUUGGACACUUCCCAGUCGUACAGACGGCUGGGUAUCUUUUGAAGAUUUCCCCUCUUUCACGAAA
rfam:Agrilus planipennis Contig25037, whole genome shotgun sequence.